AAUAUAUGAUGGGGGCAUCUCCUAAGUAGGUCUUUAUAUUGCUCCCAAGCCUCAUAAAGUGAUUCGCCCUCAAUUUGAGCAAAAUUUGAAAUUUCAUUGCCCAUCUU